rnacentral:misc_RNA from 1 species
GAUGAAGAACGCAGCGAAAUGCGACAAGUAAUGUGAAUUGCAGAAUUCCGUGAAUCAUCGAAUCUUUGAACGCACAUUGCGCCCCUUGGUAUUCCGAGGGGCAUGCCUGUUCGAGCGUCAUUAUAACCCCUCAAGCUCAGCUUGGUGUUGGGGCCUGCUGCACUGGCAGCCCUUAAAAUCAGUGGCGGCGCCAUCUGGCUCUAAGCGUAGUAAUUCUUCUCGCUAUGGAGUCCUGGUGGAUGCUUGCCAUCAACCCCCAAUUUUUCUAUGGUUGACCUCGGAUCAGGUAGGGAUACCCGCUGAACUUAAGCAUAUCAAUAAGCGGAGGA